rnacentral:lncRNA from 1 species
GAUAGCCAGAGCAUCUUCUCUCUCCAAAUGGACUUCUGCACAAAGAGUCAUGUGGUAGUCACCAUGUGAGUGGAACCUGCUUUGGACAAGGAUAGGUCUUAUCCACUAGAAAUUUCCAAACUCUGCUGUGCACUUAUGCCAUCCAUAAGGAUAGAAAUGUGUUGAUUGAGACCCAUGAGGCAGCUCCAUCAGCCUACAGUUGUCAGCAUAGGGACGAUUAGUGGUCAUUAUGGAAUCAAAUCACACACAGCAUGUUCCAUACUUUGGACAUGAUUUUUUACAUGUAUAUAACUUAACUCUCAGUAACCAUGUCAGAACAAGUGUAUCAGAAAACUACAUAUGUAAGUAUAGUUUACCACUUCAAUAUUUUUUAAGAAAAUACUUUUAAAUGUUUUGAUAAAACUACUAAAUUAGGUGAUUAAAAAAAAAAACAAGAAAAAUGAUAAGUUCCAAGAAGUGAUAUGUACCUGUUUAUUAAUUGAAACUCAGUUCCCCACUUGCCUACUGCAUAGAUGCUGAGUAGAUAUCUAAGGUGCUGCCACAAAAAGGCAUUGUUAUUAACCUGUCGCCAUGGGCUAGGCAACCUACAGUGGGAUGUGGGAAGAGUUAGCCCAAGCUCCCACACUGAGAGGCCAUCAUGUGCCGGAAGCAGCAAAAGCUCUGGUGGAGCAUGUUUAUUGUAAGGACGCAUUUUACUUCAUUUAUAUUCCUUCCCAUGCUGUUAAAUGACCUCUGCGUUCCUCUGGCCUUUGCCAGUCAGCUUUCCAUCACUGAAAUUAACUUAGAAAGACGAAGGGCUUAUUUUAGUCCAUAGGUUUUGAAGUUUCAGUCGUGAUCAAUUGGCCCCAUUGCCAAUUGAUUGUGGGGCGGUAGUUCAUCGUGGUGGAAGUAUAUGAAACAGGAAAAUUGCUCACUUCUGGCCAGGAACUGGGAGGGAGAAGAAAGGAGAGACUGACGUCCUGCUAUAUCCUUCAAAGGCAUGCUGUAACAGCCUAAAUAACCCACACCCAGUCCAACCUCAUAAAGUUCCACUCCCCCAGACUUCACCGAGAUCGCCACACUGAGGUCUAAGAAGAGGUUGGGGGCAAUGCAAAGGCAGGUCCAUGUAACUCAGAUCUCAGUCUCCUCAUGCCUUAUGAAGUAGAUCACCCCCGAGAACAGAGGCUUGCCACAGGAGCCUGUCCAUAGCUGAUGCCAUGCUGUGUGAAAAUGCAGGGACUCAGUGUGUGAUUGGCAACAUGGGCCUGGGCCUCACAGGGCAAGACAGAUAGAAACCCAGAUUGGUGAAUAACCCACAUUGCGGUGAAAAUUGAAACCGCAGGAGCAGAUAUGAUCACUGAAGAAGGAGGCAAAGGGAGAGGAGAGGCCAGGGCAGGCCUGCAGGAUGAUGAAAGGACCCAGGAAGGGGGUUACAGGCUGAACAGAUCAGGCCAGAGAGAAAACUAUUAGUUAGACAUGUGAUGGAUGAUCACUGGCUAGCAUUGAGGGGUGUGUGUGUGUGUGUGUGUGUGUGUGUGUGUGUGUGUGAGUGUGUGGUGGGGAGGGUGAAUCCAGACUGAAAUACUAUGACAUGUGGAGAUACCAGGCUGCAAAUACUGACCUCCAAUUUUCAAAUUUCAACACUAGAAUAAACACUGUCACUGAUGCAGUAAAGGUCUGCGACUGCUCCUCUUGUUUUCUGGAUAAGAAAGGAUCUGAGCAUUUGGAAGCGGGUGUCAAUGCGCUGGCUACACAUGUGUGUGUUGCUGCAGCUGGCCACCCUGCCACUUCACACAGAGAAAGUUCCUUGCUGAAUGUGCAGGGUGUGUUGUUGUAGAGGGCCUCCUUAAAAAAAUAUUAUGAGCCCUCUGCAGGAUGGUACAAAACAACAACUCAUUAUUUACAUAAAGAGGAACUAGGUCCUGCCUCCUGUGGUUGGAAACUAUGCACUGUUUUUAUAACGUUUUAAUGUCCACAGCCCACAGAGCACAACAAAGGACCCUGACUCCAUUCCAUGCACAUCGUGCCCCCAUCUGUGAAAAAUAACCAGUUCUAAUGUGUUUUAAUCUUAACCUUUUUUUCUGAGUUUUCGUUUUUCUGUCUCGUUCUGUCCUAUUUCACUGAAGAGGGCAAGAUUGGAAGGAAUCCAUUCAGAGUUAACAUCAGUCAUGUGUGGUAUCAUUGGCUAAUAAAUCCAGGAAGUAGAGGCAGGAGGAUAGCCUGAGCUAAAGCCAGACUGUCUCAGGAAAACAAAACACCAAGAAAGGACCAGCUGAUGAGGAAGCAGUUUGGCCAGCACUGCUGCCUUUGUAGCUGGGCCACAGAUAAAGGCAGUCAUACCUGCAGCCUAGGGUGGGGCCUCCCUGGAUAUUUCCUCAUCCAUACAGAUGGUGUGAGCACUUGCUCAGCUCCUAUGUAACCUUAGUGUCCAGUGAGACUCUUUGUAAAAGGGUUUUCUUCCUAAAAGGAAAUGCCAAAUAAGAAAUCUUUGCAAAGUGCUCAGUAUUCUAUUUUUCUGAAUUAUCUUUGCUGACUAUUCACAUGUGACUUGAAAUCCUAAAUUUCUAUCUGUAGAAGUUUUUGUUGACUUGUAAGCACUUUGAUAAAAGACAUGGGUGAAUUUAUUUUUAAAAAAAGCAUGUCAGCUAUAUGUGUACUACCCCUGUGUGCAGACUCACUACUCCUGUGUGCAGGCUCACUACCCUUGUGUGCAGGCUCACUACCCUUGUGUGCAGGCUCACUACCCUUGUGUGCAGGCUCACUACCCUUGUGUGCAGGUGCACUACCCUUGUGUGCAGGUGCUCCCUGUGAGCAUAGGUUUUACCUUUACAAAGUUAUUGAGAAGGACACUGCAAUUGCAGCAUCAGUGAGAUGAAGCAGGAGCACUGCUCUGAUUCAGAGGCCAGCCUGGGCUACAUAGGAAGUGCUGGGCCAGCCUGGGCUAUAUAGGAAGUGCUGAGCCAGCCUGGGCUAUAUAGGAAGUACUGGGCCAGCCUGGGCUACAUAGGAAAUACUGGACCAGCUAAGGGAAUGUGGCACAACCCUGCCUC